GACCCAUUAGCUCAGUCGGUAGAGCACCUGACUUUUAAUCAGGGUGUCCGGCGUUCGAGUCGCCGAUGGGUCA
rnacentral:tRNA from 1 species